AGUGAACGCUGGCGGCAGGCCUAACACAUGCCAGUCGAACGGCAGCACAGUAAUUGCUUGCUCUUACGGGGGGCGAGUGGCGGGCGGGUCAGGAGUACAUCGGAAUCUACUUUUUCGUGGGGCAUAACGUAGGGGAACUUACGCUAAUACCGCAGACGACGUACGGGGGAGAGCAUGGGAUCUUCGGACCUUGCGCGAUUGAAUGAGCGGAUGUCGGAUUAGCUGGUUGGCGGGGUACAGGCCCCUCCAAGGCGACGAUCCGUAGCUGGUCUGAGAGGAUGAUCAGCCACACUGGAACUGAGACACGGUCCAGACUCCUACGGGAGGCAGCAGUGGGGAAUAUUGGACAAUGGGCGCAAGCCUGAUCCAGCCAUACCGCGUGGGUGAAGAAGGCCUUCGGGUUGUAAAGCCCUUUUGUUGGGAAAGAAAAGCAGCAGGUUAAUACCCCGCUGUUCUGACGGUACCCAAAGAAUAAGCACCGGCUAACUUCGUG
rnacentral:rRNA from 1 species